AGUCAUAUGCUUGUCUCAAAGAUUAAGCCAUGCAUGUCUCAGUACAAGCCAAAUUAAGGUGAAACCGCGAAAGGCUCAUUAAAUCAGUUAUGGUUCCUUAGAUCGUACCCACAUUUACUUGGAUAACUGUGGUAAUUCUAGAGCUAAUACAUGCAAACAGAGCUCCGACCGGAGACGGAAGGAGCGCUUUUAUUAGAUCAAAACCAAUCGGCGGCGGGCUCGCUCGUCGUCGUACACCUUGGUGAAUCUGAAUAACUUUCUGCUGAUCGCAUGGUCUCGCACCGGCGACGCAUCUUUCAAAUGUCUGCCUUAUCAACUGUCGAUGGUAGGUUCUGCGCCUACCAUGGUUGUAACGGGUAACGGGGAAUCAGGGUUCGAUUCCGGAGAGGGAGCCUGAGAAACGGCUACCACAUCCAAGGAAGGCAGCAGGCGCGCAAAUUACCCACUCCCGGCACGGGGAGGUAGUGACGAAAAAUAACGAUACGGGACUCAUCCGAGGCCCCGUAAUCGGAAUGAGUACACUCUAAACCCUUUAACGAGGAUCAAUUGGAGGGCAAGUCUGGUGCCAGCAGCCGCGGUAAUUCCAGCUCCAAUAGCGUAU
rnacentral:rRNA from 1 species